CUGAACCUUCGGGGGACGAUAACGGCGUCGAGCGGCGGACGGGUGAGUAAUGCCUGGGAAAUUGCCCUGAUGUGGGGGAUAACCAUUGGAAACGAUGGCUAAUACCGCAUAAUAGCUUCGGCUCAAAGAGGGGGACCUUCGGGCCUCUCGCGUCAGGAUAUGCCCAGGUGGGAUUAGCUAGUUGGUGAGGUAAAGGCUCACCAAGGCAACGAUCCCUAGCUGGUCUGAGAGGAUGAUCAGCCACACUGGAACUGAGACACGGUCCAGACUCCUACGGGAGGCAGCAGUGGGGAAUAUUGCACAAUGGGCGCAAGCCUGAUGCAGCCAUGCCGCGUGUAUGAAGAAGGCCUUCGGGUUGUAAAGUACUUUCAGCAGUGAGGAAGGCGGAUGCGUUAAUAGCGUAUUCGUUUGACGUUAGCUGCAGAAGAAGCACCGGCUAACUCCGUGCCAGCAGCCGCGGUAAUACGGAGGGUGCGAGCGUUAAUCGGAAUUACUGGGCGUAAAGCGCAUGCAGGUGGUGUGUUAAGUCAGAUGUGAAAGCCCGGGGCUCAACCUCGGAAUAGCAUUUGAAACUGGCACACUAGAGUACUGUAGAGGGGGGUAGAAUUUCAGGUGUAGCGGUGAAAUGCGUAGAGAUCUGAAGGAAUACCAGUGGCGAAGGCGGCCCCCUGGACAGAUACUGACACUCAGAUGCGAAAGCGUGGGGAGCAAACAGGAUUA
rnacentral:rRNA from 1 species